CUAAUACAUGCAAGUAGAACGCUGAAGAGAGGAGCUUGCUCUUCUUGGAUGAGUUGCGAACGGGUGAGUAACGCGUAGGUAACCUGCCUUGUAGCGGGGGAUAACUAUUGGAAACGAUAGCUAAUACCGCAUAACAAUGGAUGACACAUGUCAUUUAUUUGAAAGGGGCAAUUGCUCCACUACAAGAUGGACCUGCGUUGUAUUAGCUAGUAGGUGAGGUAACGGCUCACCUAGGCGACGAUACAUAGCCGACCUGAGAGGGUGAUCGGCCACACUGGGACUGAGACACGGCCCAGACUCCUACGGGAGGCAGCAGUAGGGAAUCUUCGGCAAUGGGGGCAACCUUGACCGAGCAACGCCGCGUGAGUGAAGAAGGUUUUCGGAUCGUAAAGCUCUGUUGUAAGUCAAGAACGAGUGUGAGAGUGGAAAGUUCACACUGUGACGGUAGCUUACCAGAAAGGGACGGCUAACUACGUGCCAGCAGCCGCGGUAAUACGUAGGUCCCGAGCGUUGUCCGGAUUUAUUGGGCGUAAAGCGAGCGCAGGCGGUUUGAUAAGUCUGAAGUUAAAGGCUGUGGCUCAACCAUAGUUCGCUUUGGAAACUGUCAAACUUGAGUGCAGAAGGGGAGAGUGGAAUUCCAUGUGUAGCGGUGAAAUGCGUAGAUAUAUGGAGGAACACCGGUGGCGAAAGCGGCUCUCUGGUCUGUAACUGACGCUGAGGCUCGAAAGCGUGGGGAGCGAACAGGAUUAGAUACCCUGGUAGUCCACGCCGUAAACGAUGAGUGCUAGGUGUUGGAUCCUUUCCGGGAUUCAGUGCCGCAGCUAACGCAUUAAGCACUCCGCCUGGGGAGUACGACCGCAAGGUUGAAACUCAAAGGAAUUGACGGGGGCCCGCACAAGCGGUGGAGCAUGUGGUUUAAUUCGAAGCAACGCGAAGAACCUUACCAGGUCUUGACAUCCCGAUGCUAUUUCUAGAGAUAGAAAGUUACUUCGGUACAUCGGUGACAGGUGGUGCAUGGUUGUCGUCAGCUCGUGUCGUGAGAUGUUGGGUUAAGUCCCGCAACGAGCGCAACCCCUAUUGUUAGUUGCCAUCAUUCAGUUGGGCACUCUAGCGAGACUGCCGGUAAUAAACCGGAGGAAGGUGGGGAUGACGUCAAAUCAUCAUGCCCCUUAUGACCUGGGCUACACACGUGCUACAAUGGUUGGUACAACGAGUUGCGAGUCGGUGACGGCAAGCUAAUCUCUUAAAGCCAAUCUCAGUUCGGAUUGUAGGCUGCAACUCGCCUACAUGAAGUCGGAAUCGCUAGUAAUCGCGGAUCAGCACGCCGCGGUGAAUACGUUCCCGGGCCUUGUACACACCGCCCGUCACACCACGAGAGUUUGUAACACCCGAAGUCGGUGAGGUAACCUUUUGGAGCCAGCCGCCUAAGGUGGGAUAGAUGAUUGGGGUGAA
rnacentral:rRNA from 1 species